rnacentral:rRNA from 1 species
GAUGAACGCUGGCGGCGUGCCUAAUACAUGCAAGUCGAGCGAACAGACGAGGAGCUUGCUCCUUUGACGUUAGCGGCGGACGGGUGAGUAACACGUAGGUAACCUACCUAUAAGACUGGGAUAACUUCGGGAAACCGGAGCUAAUACCGGAUAAUAUUUCGAACCGCAUGGUUCGAUAGUGAAAGAUGGCUUUGCUAUCACUUAUAGAUGGACCUGCGCCGUAUUAGCUAGUUGGUAAGGUAACGGCUUACCAAGGCAACGAUACGUAGCCGACCUGAGAGGGUGAUCGGCCACACUGGAACUGAGACACGGUCCAGACUCCUACGGGAGGCAGCAGUAGGGAAUCUUCCGCAAUGGGCGAAAGCCUGGCGGAGCAACGCCGCGUGAGUGAUGAAGGUCUUCGGAUCGUAAAACUCUGUUAUUAGGGAAGAACAAACGUGUAAGUAACUGUGCACGUCUUGACGGUACCUAAUCAGAAAGCCACGGCUAACUACGUG